rnacentral:miRNA from 1 species
UAAGAUUUGAGUUAGAGUU